rnacentral:lncRNA from 1 species
AAUUCCAUGGAAAUUCGAGAUAAUUCCAUGGGAAUUCGGGACAAUUCCAUGGGAAUUCCAUCGUGGCCGUGGCUCUUCCCCGGCUGCCGAAGACGCUCCAAGAAUUUGGAUUUUAUUCGGAAUCGGCGCCAAAUCAAUCUGGGAAUUUUCUCCUUCCAGAGGGAAAUCCAAGGGCUCCCUGAGUUUUCCUGGAAUGUUCAGGUGAAAUCCAAGGGUGUUGGAGCAGGAAUUCCAGGUGGGAAUUUGGAUUUUUCCAGCCUGGAUUUGGAUUUUCAGCCACAUUUCAGGUGGGAAUUUGGAAUUUCAGCCGCAUUCCAGACAGAAAUUUGGAUUUUUCCAGCCUGGAUUUGGAAUUCCAGCUCCAUUCCAGGUGGGAAUUUGGAAUUCCAGCCUCAUUCCAGGUGGGAAUUUGGAUUUUCAGCCUCAUUCCAGGUGGGAAUUUUGAUUUUUAGCCACAUUCCAGGCGGGAAUUUGGAUUUUUCCAGCCUGGAUUUGGAUUUUUCCAGCCUGGAUUUGGAUUUUUCCAGCCUCAUCCCAGGUUGGAUUUUGGGUUUUCCAAUCUCUUUCCAAUGCUGGAUUUUCCUUCCCCUUCCAAAUAAAUUUUUUGGGAUUUAUCCUGAAUUAUCCAUCAAUUCCAACAUUCCUGAUCAAUUCAACGAUCCAGAACCAGCUGAAAUUCCAAUUUCCAAAGGAAUUCUGGGAUCCAAAAAGUUUUUGACGUUGUUUUUUUUAUCCCAUUAAAUUCAUCUCCUCCCCUUUCAUUCCCGGUUUUUUUUUGGGAAUCAUCCAAACACCGAAAAAAAAAUAAAAUUUGGAUUUUAAUUGGAGGAAUUUUGUUG